GGCACCAAUCAGUACUCUUGGAUGAGCGGAAUAUUCGAAAUAGGCCUCCCACUCGAAUGCGAGACGAAGAAAAGAAAAUAUUGAGAAUAAUAAGAACAUUAAUUUAAUUAAUUAUCGAUAGUUCCCUAAGGCUUUCGAUAUUUAAGUGUUUUCAUUAAGUGAUGAAGAAGAAGACAGACGCCGGUAAAUAAAGAAGCAGAUGAAAUGCACACACAAUUGGCAUAAGAGACUACAGUUUUAAGUUGUUGUGAACCAAGAAGAAGAAACCUGUGGACACCUGUGGACAGGCGUUUGGGGCAGUCUUUGCCAAGGCUUGUUGCAGGGGCGCGUCGGCCUCCAGUAUCUCCAGGGCUCGCGGAAUUCAAUGCCAAUCAUGUGAUCAUGUCUCCAAGCUCUGCAAGAAACCAAAGAAGAAGCUCGAACCAUGAUCCGGGUGGCAGCAACAAGCGACUGGCGUGAGUAGCCAACACUUUUGGCAGCAUUAAACGUAAAUGUAGAACAUUUUGGAAGGCCGAAGAAGGUACAAUUUAGAUGUCGACAGCGGCUGCAAGCCAAGACCUGUCUUAGCCACAUGCAAGCAGUGUAAGCUGAUAAAGCGAGUGAUUAUUGAUGGUGUACAAAGCUUAUAUGUUUUCGACGGAUUGGCUCCCACUCCCAAUGGACUCUAUAAGAAGGAACCGAUAAGCGGGCCAUAACAUGUCACCCAGCUAUCAUCCGCGGAAACCUGUCGAAGAGCGAGCCUCUCUGUGUUUUAUGGCCACUCAAAGGUAAUGGAAAAGGGCAGACUUGAGCCCCAUAAAACCCCCCAAAAAAGCCAAAGAAUUUCAAGCAAAGGAAUGCAAUUAGUGGUGCCAAGGGGAAAAUCUUUCCAGGAAAUAAAGUAUUCUCCAAAGAAAGACAUAAUUGCCACACCAAAAAAAAGAGAAAAUGAAAUCGUAAAAAUUAUUACAAGAACGAAGCCACCCAAAAAAAAAUUAAAUUAAAAUUUAUAGAGGUAAACAAGAGCUAAAAAGAAGGCAAUUAAGUUGAGGCUCAAAAAGAAAUGAAACCGUAAGGGGGGGGAGGAGAGAUAGUUUGUUAAAAAAAUCUAUGAUCUACAACAGAAUUAGCCCCAAAAUAAUGGAAACUGUUCCCGGAAUGAAUGGAUCGCCGAUCUUCAAUCAAAAUGUGAAAUGAAAUGUUUUUAAUGUAGUUUUAAAAACUUAUAAUUAAUGUGAAACGAACUUUUUAUCACCACAACUUGAUCUACAUUUUGAUGGAUAUGCUCCCCCCCCCAUCCCCAUUCCCAGUCCCAUUCCGAUCCGAGCCGAUCCAAGAAGAAGGUGCCAUAAAGCGUUGGGUUUUCGGUAAUUUAUUAGCUUUUGACCAUUUGACCACUCGUUGGCUGUAGUUUGUCUUUCUCAGUUUACUGAUCAUCAAACCGAUCAAAAGUGUGAGGCGGCGGCCCCUGCGUGCUGGCAUCUUUGGCCCAUUCAAACAUCACCGUUUUUUAUGUUCCGCCUAAAUGUGUGGCAAACUCCAUCAAAAGAAAUAAACAGAAACACAAAUGGAAAUAUGUAGUAGUUUAUAAAUUUGUUAUGGUUGUUUUUUCGUGUGAGCGCACUGCCGUGCACUGGAAAUUGAUGAUCAAAGUCGAGAUCUUUAAACGAUUGGUUCGACCAACUUGUACGAAUUUGUAAUAAAAUUGUUGUACGCAUAAAACCAUUCAAUUGGGAGAUCUUUUUGAUGGGAUAACAGUAUGUCCCUCCACUUGGGGGAAAUAUGGAA